UUUCUUUUUCUUUUCUUUUUCUUUCCUUUUCCUCCUUCUUCUUCUUUUCUUCUUCUUUUCCCGUGGGUUUCUUUUGGGCCGAAACAGGGGAUCUUUAAUCCCCUCAUUGGUUGGCCGGCCGGUGGCGCAGCCGGCGUGGGGCGGCCGUCGGCAGGAGGGGAGGCGAUCCGACGGCAAGAGGGGGAUCAAACCGGUGAUCGGCGGUGACCACCGACGUCGGAAAAAUGGCAAAGAAAGAUUUCUUCCGCAACAAAAUCCGGCGACUCCGGUCACCGACGAGCGUGCACAUCGGCACGGAAAGGAAAGGGGAGAAGAGAGGAAGGGGAGAAGGCUUACCUCCGACGCCGGCGAGGCUUUUCCGACGAGAAAUUGGACAGACACAGUGACGGAUCUCCGUGAGGAAUUUCCGACGAUUGCCGCCGUUUUGUCCCGGGAUUCUUUGGUAGGAAGAAGGGAGAAGGGUCUCCCCUUUAAAUAGAACCGGAGGAGAGGAGUUUGACUCCUCUCCGAUGAGGUUUCCAACUCCGAUUAGGAGCCGGUCGAGAGAAGAAGAUUCCCUGCGGGAGUCUU
rnacentral:lncRNA from 1 species